rnacentral:lncRNA from 1 species
CUGUAGUCCCAGCUACUCUGGAGGCUGAGACAGGAGAAUGGCAUAAACCCAGGAGGUGAAGCUUGCAGUGAGCCCAGAUCACGCCACUGCACUCCAGCCUGGGCAACAGUGCAAGACUCCAUCUCAAAAACAACAACAACAACAAAAAAAGCAAGAUAAGCAUAUAAUUUCAAGACAUGGACAUGAACACCUGGGGAUGCAGCCAAAGAGUUACAGUGGGACUGUUGGGGUUGGGGAAGGCUGGGGCAGGAAACUCCUAGUUUUGCAUUAUAAAUAUUUCCUUGUAGUACUAUUUGACUUUUUAAACCACAUAGAUGUGUUAUUUGGAUAAAAAUUAACUUUUAACUUAAAAAAGAAAGAAUAGUGGGAGGUAAUUCAAAAUAUUAGUAGUGGGUAUAUGUGGAUAGUGUGAUUACCAGUGAUGUGAAUUCACUCCAUAUUCUUUUUUUGUCUUGUCCACUGUUUAAAAAGUAAUAUGUGUUAACCUUACAAUUCAAAAAGUACAUUUUAUUUUUUAAAUACAAUCAGGAUGAAGAGAAAAAAAGAAAGGUUAUAUAGUUUGACACAGGUUAAAAAGUGAUUUUCAAAAAAGGCAAAAUUAUGAUUCACACAAAAAUAUAAAAUGAACACACAUCAAAGAUAAAUUAAGUGAGAGAAUCAAUGAGAUAUUACAGCUUAUUCAAAGAAGUCAAAGAACUACAAAUUUGCAUACAGUAAAGAAAUGUUGAAAUGAAUUCACAAAAACUAGUUUAUCCAUAAAGCAAUAAUUAGUUGCAUUCUGCAGACAAAGUAUGUAUGUUUCGAUGGACAACAAUUACUUGCGUUGCUAUCAGUUCUCUGUAACUUUUCCAGGGAGUUGUAAAAUCAACAGGGUUGCACACUCCUAUAGGAUCAGAUAAUUCCCCAGAGGCUCCCUUGAAAGGAUACCCAGUAAAGAUUUUUGUCCAUUUGAAUGUCUUAAAUUUCUCCUUAUGUAUAGUUAAGGGCUAAUGAGUUAAUGCAAUCUUGUGUCUUAAAGUCCUGCUGGUUAUUCAGUAGUGGGAAGCAAGUUUAGUUUGAAUUCCUUUCAUUGGCCAACACUGUGUCACAUGAUGGCUCCUAGCUGCAAGAGAGCCUGCACACUUUAAUUUCUCUGUUGAGCACAUGCUGCCUUGAAUGCAAGCUUGAGUGUGGGCAGGUAUUUGGCAGUGUCUGUCUCAUGAGUGCAUUGAAGGCUAAAAGAAGGUACUCCAAAUAGUUAACAGGGCUUG